rnacentral:lncRNA from 1 species
AAAUAUCACAACACCCUCGGUCAUAGAGUACUGACAGCAGCAGCAGCAGCAGCAGCAUUCGAGCAGCAGCAGCAACAUCAUUGGAAAAGGCAAUGGCAAUUUACAUGUACAAUGCAAAAGUUUCGAUUUUAUUGUAUGGGAGGAUUGUACGAGAAUACCCGCAGUCAUACCCGUAUGGUAUAGGCGUGUCCGUGUGUGAGUGUGUGCCCGUCGGUUGAGAUGUCUGAUUCUGUUUGUUUUCCGUUCUGACAGCCAUAGGAGAUCGAAACGUUAUGCUACACGAUUUCCAGCCACCCCCCACCACCCUCUGUUAAAUGCAAAAAGCAACCGGUUACGAUUACUGCUGCCGGCCAAAAAGUCCAAAAACAGUUUCGUAACACUCAAUUUUCGGAAAAUGCCAGCUAGUUGGCAAGACUUCAUUUUGGCAUUACAGUCAGUUUUAAAGUGGAUAUUUCUCGCUUUCGAACGCUUAACUGGCUUAUAUUUCUCCCCCCCCCAUCGAACGCUUAGCUUGGCUAAUCACCUGCACUGCCAUGCAAAAGCCAAUUGUUUAGUUCAUUUGUUUUGGCUGAAAGUGAAGUGCAUGCCAGUACCUUGAAGCAGAGACAAAUCGUUGGCCAUUUAAAGCGUAGUUUCUGCUACUUAUGCAUGCCGCCCCAGACUAGCCAUAAGUCUCAUAGAAGUGGGCCAUGGGGAAGUGGUAUUUGCAUGGGGGAGUACACUCAACUUUAGCAACUGCCACUGAAACUGCAAUUUGCAACGGGGUAUGCUAUGCAUGGCCAUAACUAAUUUGCAUAUUGUCUGAUCCAAUUGCAUUAUAGACUCAAACCAAAAUCAAUUGAAACUCCGUUGUGUGCGGCAUGCACUCCAGACAAGGGCACCCCAAAGAAAAAAUAGUAGUUGCUGACCAAAACAUUUCUGUUCUCACGCUUCCCUAAUUAGUGUGUGUCCAGGAGAAUCUAAUUAUGUCUGUGCCAACGGAAAAAACUACAAAACCAAGAAGGUAAGCACAUGCCCCUGGGUGCUAGGGUUGUGUGAUGGAUAUGUGUAUGAUAAGAAAUGUUAACCCUCUCAACCUGCUUAUUUCCAAGCUGCUUUUCGAAAUGAAAUGUUUUGAUUCUUUCGUGUUGCAUGCUGCACAGUGUGGCAUGGCGGUAGCCUGUAAUCGUGCUGUGGCUUGGGCUGCGCAACCACCAACGUAUUAGCAGACCCCCAUGACUGUUUAAAUUUCCACAGAGCAGUUUUUUCCAGCGCUUUUUCUGCGGCUGCUGCUGCUGCUACUGCUGCUUCUCGUGGUGGCCAGGAAACACAACGAACUGCCAAAUGGCUAGCGCAAAGCGGAAGAAAAACUAAAACAAAUGUCAGUCGUAGUUGACGCGUUGCCACCAGGCAGCAGUCGAGCGGCAGAACGGCAGUGGGGGGGGCAGAAGGACUCCAGGCAGGAUGAGAACUAACCGUGGCCAUUCCCCUUUUUGCCUCCGAAGCGACGGUUUGCAGCUGCCAGCGAAAUGCAAAUGUCAUUUGCAGUUGACACUUGACUCAGCACUUCGCACUGUCCUAGGGCACUUUGGGGUUUUCACCUGCGUCGUCUUCCCGGGGUAUGCCUCAUGCCUCAAUCCCCACAGACUCACACUGGCGGCAGACAGAGAGACAGAGGGAGAGAUUGAGGGAUAGGGAC